CUGGAUCCAAUUGACAUUGAGAACAAUUAUACUGGGAAUAAUUCAUUCCACUCAACCUCUGUUGUAAAACACUCACACGCAACAUACCAUUUCAUCACACGGGAAAAGGAUGUGGCGGUUUGUUAGCACAAGAAGCUAAUGCAGCGAGCUACAUCUUCACUAAGUGCUCCUUCUUAGAGUCAAACAGAUGAGGCCAGUCACAGAAGAUCCACACCCAAGUAUGAAAAGUAGGUUGCGAGUGGCUCAGAGUGAGAUUGCUAUCAAGUCAACAGGAAGGGACAAAAACAAGAAGUAGUCAUUUCCAACCAUCUGACAAUGAAAAACAAAACAGUCCUAUGUGCGGGAGUCUUUGCUGUUUUCCUUACUUCUGCCUUAUCAACCAUCAUAUUUUCAGAAAGGCUUGCAAGGGAGAAAAGCAAAACACACACAGGAGAGUUCCUGCUUUGAUGCUGUCUGAAAUCAGGUCUAAUGCUAAUGCUGGUCAAAUUUGAAAUUAGGGCAUUCAAACUUCAAGGUAAAACUGUAAGAUUGAUAUUCAGUCCUUGCACUCUUCAUGCAUGUACUGCGGAGAUAACAUGGUUGUUUUCUUAAAAAAAAAAACUGCUGACAUAGUUGUUGUUUACGACACAAAAUCUCAAGACCCUCUUGUGGCCGCUGGAAUUCUGCCGGGAGCAGAAGGAGGAAAAUCGGGUGACAUUCCGCUGGCAUCCCAGCGGGGCCCACUGCGGAGUGAUACAGCUGUGUCGCGGGUUUGAUCCAGCCUCAGUGCGCCUUCCCAGCGGGAGCGUUCCAAAAAUGUUCCUUGCCGAGCACAACUUGCUGAACUGAUCUUUUGAUCCAUGCUUAAAAUUCCGUUGCGACUCUAUCAAAAUGACGAUGAAAUCCUAGACUUCAACCUUCGAAUGAACAAACAUGAUCCUUUUUGUGCAGAUAUUCCAUCUUGGUUCUUUAGCAGGACAUUAAAGACAUUUAACAGGCCUUUCAAAUAUAAUAGCACACCCUUCUUAACAUCACAAUGGAGAUGUAAACAGCGAAUGAAGGACUCUCAGGUGUCUGUAUUGUUGAAAGGAGUUUCUUCUUCAAAACCUAAGGUCUUUUUCUGAAAUGACCAUGAAACUCAACUACUAAGAACAAAUGUCAUUCAUAAAUUAGUUUUAAUUGCAAAGUGAGUGUUUAUGCCAAGAAAAGAAAGCAUUGACGUUGGUAGCUCAAUGUGUUCAGUCCAAGCCGGCAGUAAUUCACAAACUUUUCGGAGCACCUUUUCGACUUCUUAAAAGCCUUCUUACAAGAAAGAUUUAUGACCUUCACUGGCUAAAAGGAGCAAUUUGGGAUACUGAGGAAAUUCAUAUCCGAGCAGGAAGCCCCCACCUGUUCCUCUCUGUUUUAUUUAGUUGACCGAGUGACACGAAAUUAGCUGGU